rnacentral:rRNA from 1 species
UACGUAGGGUGCGAGCGUUGUCCGGAAUUAUUGGGCGUAAAGAGCUCGUAGGCGGUGUGUCACGUCGGCCGUGAAAACCUGGGGCUUAACUCUGGGCGUGCGGUCGAUACGGGCAUCACUAGAGUUCGGCAGGGGAGACUGGAAUUCCUGGUGUAGCGGUGAAAUGCGUAGAGAUCAGGAAGAACACCCGUGGCGCAAGCGGCCACCUGGCCAAGAGCUGACGCUGAGGCACGAGAGCGUGGGGAGCGAACCGG